AUUGAACGCUGGCGGCAGGCCUAACACAUGCAAGUCGAGCGGCAGCACGGGUACUUGUACCCGGUGGCGAGCGGCGGACGGGUGAGUAAUGCCUAGGAAUCUGCCUGGUAGUGGGGGAUAACGCUCGGAAACGGACGCUAAUACCGCAUACGUCCUACGGGAGAAAGCAGGGGACCUUCGGGCCUUGCGCUAUCAGAUGAGCCUAGGUCGGAUUAGCUAGUUGGUGAGGUAAUGGCUCACCAAGGCGACGAUCCGUAACUGGUCUGAGAGGAUGAUCAGUCACACUGGAACUGAGACACGGUCCAGACUCCUACGGGAGGCAGCAGUGGGGAAUAUUGGACAAUGGGCGAAAGCCUGAUCCAGCCAUGCCGCGUGUGUGAAGAAGGUCUUCGGAUUGUAAAGCACUUUAAGUUGGGAGGAAGGGCAGUUACCUAAUACGUAUCUGUUUUGACGUUACCGACAGAAUAAGCACCGGCUAACUCUGUG
rnacentral:rRNA from 1 species